AAUCAUGGACAAUGGGCGCAAGCCUGACCCAGCCAUGCCGCGUGAGUGAAGAAGGCCCUCGGGUUGUAAAUCUCUUCCGGACGGAAAGAAAUCGCGCAGGCUAAUACCCUGCGCGGCUGACGGUACCGUCCUCAGAAGCACCCGCUAACCACGUGCCAGCAGCCGCGGUAAUACGUAAGGUGCGAGCGUUUAUCGGAAUUAAUGGCCGUAAAGCGUGCGCAGGCGGUUGAUUAAGACUGGCGUGAAAUCCCCGGGCUUAACCUGGGAACUGCGCUUGUGACUGGUCAGCUAGAGUACGGCAGAGGAGGGUGGAAUUCCACGUGUAGCAGGGAAAUGCGUAGAGAUGUGGAGGAACACCGAUGGCGAAGGCAGCCCCAUGGGCCGAUACUGACGCUCAUGCACGAAAGCGUGGGUAGCAAACAGG
rnacentral:rRNA from 1 species